rnacentral:rRNA from 1 species
UACAGGGGGGGCAAGCGUUGUUCGGAAUUACUGGGCGUAAAGGGCUCGUAGGCGGCCAACUAAGUCAUACGUGAAAUCCCUCGGCUUAACCGGGGAACUGCGUCUGAUACUGGAUGGCUUGAGAUUGGGAGAGGGAUGCGGAAUUCCAGGUGUAGCGGUGAAAUGCGUAGAUAUCUGGAGGAACACCGGUGGCGAAGGCGGCAUCCUGGACCAACACUGACGCUGAGGAGCGAAAGCCAGGGGAGCAAACAGG